rnacentral:tRNA from 1 species
CAAAUUAAAGUUUAUAAAAAUAUUUCAUUUACAUUGAAAAGAGAUUGAAUUUGUUUCAUUUAAUUUGA